rnacentral:rRNA from 1 species
GAUGAACGCUGGCGGCGUGCCUAAUACAUGCAAGUCGAGCGAACGGACGAGAAGCUUGCUUCUCUGAUGUUAGCGGCGGACGGGUGAGUAACACGUGGAUAACCUACCUAUAAGACUGGGAUAACUUCGGGAAACCGGAGCUAAUACCGGAUGAUAUUUUGAACCGCAUGGUUCAAAAGUGAAAGACGGUCUUGCUGUCACUUAUAGAUGGAUCCGCGCUGCAUUAGCUAGUUGGUAAGGUAACGGCUUACCAAGCCAACGAUGCAUAGCCGACCUGAGAGGGUGAUCGGCCACACUGGAACUGAGACACGGUCCAGACUCCUACGGGAGGCAGCAGUAGGGAAUCUUCCACAAUGGGCGAAAGCCUGACGGAGCAACGCCGCGUGAGUGAUGAAGGUCUUCGGAUCGUAAAACUCUGUUAUUAGGGAAGAACAUAUGUGUAAGUAACUGUGCACAUCUUGACGGUACCUAAUCAGAAAGCCACGGCUAACUACGUG